rnacentral:lncRNA from 1 species
UUUUUGCACCAUGCAUAACAUUUGCAUUUGCAUGCAUAUCAAGCAUACACAUAAGCUGAUAAACGGGUUCCUCAAAGUAGACUGAAGAUUUACUUUACAACCAAAGUCAUGAGAUUCAUCCAGAGGAUAAAGUGUGUGUGAUCCAGCAGGAGGGUCAUUUCAAAGAUUCAGCCUGAGAAUCAUUGAUCCAUCCUAAGGUUCAAUUUGAAGAUUCAGCUAGAGAGUCGCCUACAAGCGUUAUUUCCCCGGCAAGCUAGCUAGAGGGAUAGAUUGACAAUUCAAC